UCGUGUGUUCACACAGCUCCCGUCACGCUUCACACGCCCGGGAUGCGUUGGACGAAAUGACCGACAGUAGUCGUGGCGACGAUGGCACGAAGUCUUCCCCGAACACCGAUGACGCGUCCCACGAAAUGACCGCAAGUGGACUACGCUCCUGCCAUAUUCCUCUACGCGCUUUCUCGGAGGCACACGCCCGGGAUGCGUUCGACGAAAUGACCGACAGUAGUCGUGGCGACGAUGGCAUGAAGUCCUCCCCGCACACCGAUGACGCGUUCCACGAAACGACCGCAAAUGGAUUACGCUCCGGCCAUAUCCCUCUACGCGCUUUCUCGGAGAGAUGCGAUCUUUUCGUGCAACCUUCGUCAAAAUGAG
rnacentral:lncRNA from 1 species